AAAAUUAUAUCUUUUUAAUUAAGUUUAAUUUUAAUUAGUAUUUUCUAUGUUUUAGUAUUUUAGAGGGAUAAUUGUAUAUGUUGACUGUAAAGGUUUAUAGUUAAUUAAAGAAAAAAAUUAAUAGUACCUUUUGUAUCAGGGUAGAUUAAAUAUAUUAAAAAUUUUAUUUUCCCGAAUUAAGAAGUUCAAUUUAAUUAUUUUUUUACUUGUUUUAAAAAGUUAUAUAAUAUUUAUAUAGUAAUUAUAUGUUAUACAUUUUUUAUAUAUCUGGUUAUUAAGGAAAUUAAUUUAAUUAAUUACUUAUAUAUAUUAAUAUAGUUAAUGAAGUUUAAGUAUAAAUUUAUUAGGGAUAAUCUUAAUAGGUAUAAUAUAAUAUUAUUUUGUUCAUUUUUAUUUUCUUUUAAAUUUUGAUUGAAGUUUUUAAUAAAUUUAUAUGAUUUAAAUAUAAUUUUAUUUUAUUUAAUUUUUUACUUAUAUUUUUAUUAGUUAUUUAUAUUCUUUAUUGAUAAUGAUUUAAUUAGUAUAAUUUUAAAUUUGUUUAUAAUUAACUCGACAAAGAUUAUUUCCAACUGUUUAACAAAAACAUUUUCUUUUGAUUUUCUAAAAGGUACUUUCUGCCCUAUGAAUAUUUUAAAUGGCUGCAGUAUUUUGACUGUACAAAGGUAGCAUAAUAAUUAGUUUCUUAAUUAGGAGCUUGUAUGAAUGGAUAUAUGAGAUUUAAGUUUUAUUUAAUUAAAUAUUAGAAAUUUAAUUUUGAGUUAAAAUGCUUAAGUAUAUUUCUGGGACGAUAAGACCCUAUAGAACUUAAAUUAAUUAAUAAAGUAUUUUUAUGUGUUUAAAUUAUGAUUUAAUAUAUUAUUUUUUGCUGGGGUGGUAAUUAAAUUUAAACUUUAAUUUGUUUAUUCAUUUAUAUAUGUAUAUAAGGAUCCUUUAUAAGAUUAAAAGAUUAAGUUACCUUAGGGAUAACAGCGUAAUUUUAAUGGGGAGUCCAAAUCUAUAUUAAUUUUUGCGACCUCGAUGUUGAAUUAAGAAAAAACUUAGGAGCAGAAUUUUAAUGUUUAAGUCUGUUCGACUUUUAAUUUCUUACAUGAUUUGAGUUCAGACCGGCGUGAGCCAGGUUGGUUUCUAUCUGGGGACAAAUAAAUAUUUAUUCAGUACGAAAGGACCAAUAAGUUUACUUGUUAGAGUGUUUAAUUUAAAAUA
rnacentral:rRNA from 1 species